AACGCUAGCUACAGGCUUAACACAUGCAAGUCGAGGGGCAGCAUGAACUUAGCUUGCUAAGUUUGAUGGCGACCGGCGCACGGGUGAGUAACACGUAUCCAACCUGCCGAUGACUCGGGGAUAGCCUUUCGAAAGAAAGAUUAAUACCCGAUGGCAUAGUUCUUCCGCAUGGUAGAACUAUUAAAGAAUUUCGGUCAUCGAUGGGGAUGCGUUCCAUUAGGUUGUUGGCGGGGUAACGGCCCACCAAGCCUUCGAUGGAUAGGGGUUCUGAGAGGAAGGUCCCCCACAUUGGAACUGAGACACGGUCCAAACUCCUACGGGAGGCAGCAGUGAGGAAUAUUGGUCGAUGGACGAGAGUCUGAACCAGCCAAGUAGCGUGAAGGAUGACUGCCCUAUGGGUUGUAAACUUCUUUUAUACGGGAAUAAAGUGAGGCACGUGUGCCUUUUUGUAUGUACCGUAUGAAUAAGGAUCGGCUAACUCCGUGCCAGCAGCCGCGGUAAUACGGAGGAUCCGAGCGUUAUCCGGAUUUAUUGGGUUUAAAGGGAGCGUAGGCGGACGCUUAAGUCAGUUGUGAAAGUUUGCGGCUCAACCGUAAAAUUGCAGUUGAUACUGGGUGUCUUGAGUACAGUAGAGGCAGGCGGAAUUCGUGGUGUAGCGGUGAAAUGCUUAGAUAUCACGAAGAACUCCGAUUG
rnacentral:rRNA from 1 species